rnacentral:rRNA from 1 species
CGCUGGCGGCACGCCUAACACAUGCAAGUCGAACGCAGUAGCAAUACUGAGUGGCGAACGGGUGAGUAUAAUGUGGGUAUCUGCCUUUUGGUUUGGAAUAACACGAGGAAACUUGUGCUAAUACCGGAUAAGCCUUCACAGGGAAAGUUUUAUACGCCAAAAGAUGAGCCCGCACUUGAUUAGCUAGUUGGUAAGGUAAUGGCUUACCAAGGCUACGAUCAAUAGCUGUUCUUAGAGGAAGAUCAGCCACAUUGGGACUGAGACACGGCCCAAACUCCUACGGGAGGCAGCAGUGGGGAAUCUUGCACAAUGGGGGAAACCCUGAUGCAGCGAUGCCGCGUGAGUGAAGAAGGCCUUUGGGUUGUAAAGCUCUUUCGUCGGGGAAGAAAAUGACUGUACCCGAAUAAGAAGGUCCGGCUAACUUCGUGCCAGCAGCCGCGGUAAUACGAAGGGACCUAGCGUAGUUCGGAAUUACUGGGCUUAAAGAGCACGUAGGUGGUUAAAAAAGUUGGUGGUGAAAUCCCAAGGCUUAACCUUGGAACUGCCACCAAAACUUUUUAGCUAGAGUGUGAUUGAGGUAAGCGGAAUUUCUAGUGUAGAGGUGAAAUUCGUAGAUAUUAGAAAGAACACCAAUUGCGAAGGCAGCUUUCUGGAUCAUUACUGACACUGAGGUGCGAAAGCAUGGGUAGCGAAGAGGAUUAGAUACCCUCGUAGUCCAUGCCGUAAACGAUGUGUGCUAGACGUUGGAAAUUUAUUUUCAGUGUCGCAGCAAAAGCGUUAAGCACACCGCCUGGGGAGUACGACCGCAAGGUAAACUCAAAUGAUGCG